AUAAGGAAUCCAUUAAAGUGGCUCAAGCAUGAAUUUCACAUAGAAUUGUGGCUCUGCAGAUGGUGAAGAAUCCUAAGAAUGCAUCAGCAGGUAGCUAUAGCACAGAUGAGAGAAUGGGAGUGGACAGUCUAUGAACAGGAGCAAGAUUGAAGAGUCGCUAACUGCAGCAUUGAUAGGACAUGAGGAAGGCCAUAGGUUUUAAAUCAGAAGAUAACAGGCGAAAGCUAAUGACACUAGAAGUGAGAUUAACUGAGAUUAAUUUCUCCAACUUCCGUUUUGAGCAGAAUUAGAAUGCCUGAAGAAAUAGUAAAGAUGAAAAAAAGUGAAGUUGAGAUACGUUACUGGCAAGGACUGAUGGCUUAAGAAGAGAUGUCACUGAUUCUCACAAGCAAACAAAGGACAAAUGCUGACAGCUACCUUCACUUCAAUUGUUAACAAGCAAUUUCCAUCAGCUUUAGUGUGAAAUGGAUCAGCCAAUAUGAAUGCAUAUUGUGAAUGACUCACCCUGUAUCAACUGUCUAUACAUGAGUAAAGCCACAUGUCCCCACACUGCUGAUAGUCUUUAUUAUGGGCUUUCUUUAAGACAUCGGAGAAAGGGCCAAGAGAACCGGGUUUACUUAUCAUGGACACGAAAAGAUGGAUGGCAACUGUGCAGAAGAUAAAGCCAGGCUUUUCUCAGAGGUGCACUAAGAGAGAAUGACGCAACAGAUGCAACUGGAAAUUCUGCUGGAAAUACCUGGAUUAGCACUGGAAAAUGUUGUCUGUAGAACCUCCAGUGUAGGGGAUUUUCAAAACUCAGCUGAACAAGGUUGUGAACAACCUGAUCUACAGUUGGAGUUCAUCCUGCUUUGAGCAGGAGGUUGGACUUGGUCUUGGUGGCUUUCAGAGGUCCCAGAGGGAUAUUUAUAAAUAAACAGCAGCAGAAUGACUAACAGAUUAGAAAGAAGAGCUUUUGUUACAGACAACAUCGCUGCAAAUAAUAUUAACUUCACACACUAAUAUAGUGCAAGUUACUUUAAACAAGUAUGACACUGUCAGACAUACAGGCCCAUUAAAACAUUGGAACUCUUGCUAGUACAUUUGCUAAUAAUCUUGUACACUGGACUUAUUUCAACUCAUUAGAAGCUUUAUAAGCUCAUUUUUAUAAUAUUUAUAACUAUACUUCAUGGAAAAAAAAAUGGACUACACUUCUGGAAGAAAAAGAUAAUCUGAGAAUUAAUUAAAAAAUAAAUCUUUUUAACUAUUAAAAAAAAAAAAAAGAAGUUUAACAAAAGCUAAAGAAUGUCUUAAAGAUAGACCUUGAUCAAUCCUUCACUUCAGCUGUGUUAGGUCUCUUGACAAUAAUUUGCUUUAGUUCUGAUGAGAGGUCCAUCUAAAAGUGUGUGGGCAAGCUGAGUAGUUUAGAGACACUUCAGAUAUGUUCAGAAAUGUUCAUAACCAAAGCACAGGCUUUCAGGAUACUGUUCUGCCCUGGUAUCUCUGUUUAUUCAUUACAAGUGUGAGUAUGUUACCAAUGAAAUAUAACUAGUUCUGUGCAACACCUUAAACCACUUUUUUCAUCUUUGCUCAAAUUGUGUCCUCCUGAAAUUUUGAUACAGCGACUUUCUUCUCAUGUGGUAAAAGUUGUAUCAUAUAAUAUUAUCAAUUACAUUCCCAAAUUGUAACAAAAUGAAUUCUGGAUGUAUUACACAUCCAAUAAAAAGGUUGAUAUUUUUUAAUAAUAAACUCCUUAUCU
rnacentral:lncRNA from 7 species